rnacentral:ribozyme from 1 species
CAUUGCAUGUAGCAAUCGAAUUAGAUAUGUAGAUAGUAGGAGGGAUACAUUCAUCAUUGUAAGGAUAAUAAUAAUUAUUAUUAAUUUUUGUAUCCCAAAAAAUGAAGAAAAAAAUUAGUUUAUUCUCCAAAAAGCAGGUUAAGAAAUUUGGGAGUAA